rnacentral:lncRNA from 1 species
CUACAUCUCUCCUCUCCUUCUGUUAGUAUCUCUGAUCCCUCCUCUCUCUCUGUCUACAUCUCUCCUCUCCUUCUGUUAGUAUCUCUGAUCCCUCCUCUCUCUCUGUCUACAUCUCUCCUCUCCUUCUGUUAGUAUCUCUGAUCCCUCCUCUCUCUCUGUCUUCAUCUCUCCUCUCCUUCUGUUAGUAUCUCUGAUCCCUCCUCUCUCUCUGUCUUCAUCUCUCCUCUCCUUCUGUUAGUAUCUCUGAUCCCUCCUCUCUCUCUGUCUACAUCUCUCCUCUCCUUCUGUUAGUAUCUCUGAUCCCUCCUCUCUCUGUCUACAUCUCUCCUCUCCUUCUUAUCUCUGAUCCCUCCUCUCUCUCUGUCUACAUCUCUCCUCUCCUUCUGUUAGUAUCUCUGAUCCCUCCUCUCUCUCUGUCUACAUCUCUCCUUCUGUUAGUAUCUCUGAUCCCUCCUCUCUCUCUGUCUAC